UUAGCCUUAAACAUAAAUAUUCAAAUAACAAGAAUAUUCGCCAGAGUACUACUAGCAACAGCCUAAAACUCAAAGGACUUGGCGGUGCCUUACAUCCCUCUAGAGGAGCCUGUUCUAUAAUCGAUAAACCCCGAUACACCUCACCACUCUUAGCACUCAACCAGUCUAUAUACCGCCAUCUUUAGCAAACCCUAACAAGGCCUCAUAGUAAGCACAAGAACUAUAAGUUAAAACGUUAGGUCAAGGUGUAACCCAUAGAGUGGGAAGCAAUGGGCUACAUUUCCUGUCCACAGGACACACACGACAACUUUUAUGAAAACCAAAAGUCCAAGGUGGAUUUAGUAGUAAGCCAGAAAUAGAGCGUCUGACUGAAUCGGGUAAUAAGGCGCGC
rnacentral:rRNA from 1 species